GAUCCCGGUAAGGGCCUCCUUCCAGGUUGCAGACAGCUGACUUAUUACUGUGUUCUCAAGUGAAUAGAGCCUCUAGAGUCUCCAUUACAAGGGCACUAAUCUCCACCCUCAUGGUCUAAUCACAUCACAAAGCCUCCACUUCCUAAUGCCAUCCCACGAGGGGUCAGAAUCUCAACAUAUGAAUUAGCAGUGGUACAUCUGUGAUGUUCUCCUCAGGAAUGUCUUCUCUGUACUCCAUAUCAACCUUCAUCUUCCAGCUGGCUUCCCCAGCCUCAUUCUUCUGGUGGCAGAGAUCCAAGAGAGAAUAGCAUUGGAUCUGGCCUCCUCGUCUGGCAAUUGUUGCACAAUCAUGUGCUCUGUAUGUUAGUGGUCCAAGCCAUUCUCCUAGGCGCAAACUCAGAGGAUGAAGAAAUAGAGUCCAUCACUGGACAGAACUUCCUGCAAAAUCACACACUGGUGUGAUAAAGGAAGAAUAAUGGAUCAGAACUACUACUCAGGAAGUCUCCCAUGAACCGGGAUGGGAUUGGCUACUCAUGUGGGAUCACUUCUGACCUGGGACACAAAGCACAGGCACUGAACUCACUACUGAAAUAUGAAGAUUUCUCCAGAUUUAUGGAAACCAGAACUGAAAUAAUAAUUGAUUGGAUCCUUGUCUACCUCACUGAAUUUCCUAAAACUGAUCUCCUGCUUUUGCGGGUGGACCAUUCUGGAUCCUGCAUUAAUGUGUGCUGCCUACAGAUACUAUUUACCUCUGCCUAA
rnacentral:lncRNA from 1 species